GACGAACGCUGGCGGCGUGCUUAACACAUGCAAGUCGAACGGAAAGGCCCUGCUUUUGUGGGGUGCUCGAGUGGCGAACGGGUGAGUAACACGUGAGUAACCUGCCCUUGACUUUGGGAUAACUUCAGGAAACUGGGGCUAAUACCGGAUAGGAGCUCCUGCUGCAUGGUGGGGGUUGGAAAGUUUCGGCGGUUGGGGAUGGACUCGCGGCUUAUCAGCUUGUUGGUGGGGUAGUGGCUUACCAAGGCUUUGACGGGUAGCCGGCCUGAGAGGGUGACCGGCCACAUUGAGACUGAGAUACGGCCCAGACUCCUACGGGAGGCAGCAGUGGGGAAUAUUGCACAAUGGGUGGAAGCCUGAUGCAGCAACGCCGCGUGCGGGAUGACGGCCUUCGGGUUGUAAACCGCUUUCGCCUGUGACGAAGCGUGAGUGACGGUAAUGGGUAAAGAAGCACCGGCUAACUACGUG
rnacentral:rRNA from 1 species